GCCCCCCCAGCUCGCCGCGUGCUCGUCCUUUGCGCGCGUCGCCGUCGGCACGUUGCCACCCGUCUCUUCCGAGUAUGUCCGGCCGCUCGGCUCUACGUGGCGUGGGAGUGGCGCCAGAAUUCAAACGAACAGCCGCAGUUGUAGGCGAGGUCACCGCCUGCUUUGAGCCAAGUCGGCUAGGACUCUCCGUGGCUGGGAGCGGCCUUUACGCGCGGCCCGUGGAGGAGCCUGGCUGGCCCGGUGGCCGGUGCUGCGCUUGGUCCGCGGCGGCGCAGCUGAAUGGACGUCGGCGGACAGUACUAAGACGGUGAAAACCGGAAAGCCCUACGUUUAUCCUUCGUGCACCCUGCGGGUACCGUAUGUCAGCAGAAGGCCACGCUGUCGCGUUCACGCCACCCAACUCCUGUUCAGGCACCCAGCCAGGACUGAGAAUGGCCCAAGAGCCAUGCCUUUGGGUGUAUUUGUGAGGAUGUUUUCAGAGAAGUUGAACUGAAGAAAGAAGAGUACCCGGAAUAUGGAUGGCAUCAUCCCAUGGAGGAGGAGACAACUCUUCAAAACAACUCCUUCCCAGAAUAGAAAUGAAGCCUUUGAUUGGAACAAGAACACUUCAUCUGUUAAGACAGAAGAGAAGGCAGGUAUUGACAGAGGAAGUCACGUGCAGCCUGUCCACCAUCCCAUGGCUAUGCAAGAGUGUGCUUUGGCUGAGCAUAGAACAUUUUAUUUUACACAGAUUCACAAAGUCCCCACAGCCUGUGCUGGGAAUAUCACUGUGUUUGGCAAUAACUUUCCCUGUUCUAGGGUUUAUGUGCACUUCUCUAUUCUGCAUUAAGAAUGUGCAUCCUCCAGAGACCCACAGCCAAACAUCAGGCAGAGCUCCAGGAACCUCAAGGAAGAGGGGAAGGAAGGAUUGUAACAGCCAGGGGGGUUGGGUCAAGGACACCAGGAGAACACAGUCCACAGAAUAAACUAAGCAGGGCUGCAAGGGGCUCAGAGAGACUGAUGUGGCAGUCACUGAGCCUGUAUGGGUCUGUACUAGGUCCUCUGCAUAUAUGCUAUGGUUGUGUAGCUUGGUCUUCUGGUGGAACUCCUAACAGUGGGAAUGGGGGCGGGUAUCUCUGAUUCUUUUGCUUUCUCUUGGAACCUUUAACCUCCUAUUGGAUUGCUUCAUUCAGCCUUGAAGUGAGGAUUUGUGCUUAGUCUUACAGUAACUUACGCUGUGUUUGGUUGAUAUCCCUGGGAGACUUGCUCUUUUAAUGAAGGGAAACAGAAGAAGAAUGGAUCUGGGGCAAAGGGGAGUUGUGUGUUUGGGGACAGGGGCGAGAGUGCAGGGAGGGGCAACUCUGGUUGGGAUGCAAUGUA